CUGAAGUCUUUGGUGUUUGGUUUUCUGUUUCUAAUAUGAGCAUAUUAAAUGGGCUGAUAGUCAUGGUGGCAAUUUUUAUAUAGUUUUGGGGGGGAUAGGAUCUCACAGUCCUAAAAUACGGUAAUACUCUCUGAGUAGGAAUUCAAGGUGGUGUUUUAUUUGGCCGAGGAUUCACUCGCACAGCAGAGACGUCAGGCUUUUUACAUGUGUGUUUGAUGCUGUGGGUUCUUUCACAGACAACCAACAUUCUCCACUUGUGACAGAAUACGAUCUUCGUCAUAAAUCACUUUCCUGUUGUGGGGAGUGGGUGUGUCUUAAUCCCCAUUUCUUAAACUUAUUCCCAUGGUGUGCAUUUUUAUUUCUUUUCCAGCCAUGAGAUGAGAAAAAAAAAUCAAAAAGAAUAAAGUCCAAGGUUCUACUGGGCUUUCUCCUUGAAAAGGGCGAGGGGAGAAAAUGGGAGCUGAUCAAGGGCCUCACGUCAAGACAGCAGCAGCUCCGCAGGUGUGGCCUGAGGACCACUGGGGAGCCCUGUGACCCUUCCAAGGGAACUGCAAGUUCCCGCCUUUUCCAACCACAUAUUCCUGACGCCAGACCUGUUUCAUGUACUUCCACCGAAACGACAUGGCACAGCAGACUGAAUGCAGAGAUAAUCCAGCUGUGCUCUCUUAUGCCAGGACUUUCAAAUCCCUCCAAACUCUCUGGGAAGCUAAGCAUUUGAACCGGCUGCAUGCUGACUGCUCACCCACUGAGGUAAGCCGAGGCGUGAAAGGGGGCCAGGAGCUGCGUCUGUGAGAACAGCGCGUUAUUAGCCAGGCUGCCACUAUCAGAGACGGAAGAUACUCCAGAAUUAAGGUCAUAAUGAGUUAAAAGUGGAAAAAAAAAAAUCCUCUUUCAUGGAUUUUUCAAGUCUUUAUAUCAGAUUUCUUCUCUGGGUAUUAGAGGAACAAGAACAUAGCCAACAGAACUGCAUGAGGUCAAUAGAAAAAUUAAGAUUUCUACUGCUUCUAAAAGCUAAGAACAUUCUGAUGAGGGUUAUCUGUGUGGCAGGUCAAGAGCACACCUUCAUCAUUCUCUCCCUCACACCUGCACUGAUGUGGCAAGUAGAAGUGAGUCAGUACAGUCGCAGAACAGCUCAUUUACAAUUUCCCUGUCUGUUGAAAAAAGGAAGCAGAACUAAACGCAGAUGGGAAAAUCCUCCAUUAGAAAUCAGCUUGGUAGUAAGAGUCUGUCUGGCUUUAACUGUCCGCUGCUUUCAGGACGUGAGAUGUGAAAUGGUCAGCAUAGGAGCACGUACAAAGUUCUUGACAUGUCAGCACAUCUUCAUGAGUAAAAACGAGAGGCAGAGAAACGUUUAUAGAAUAUACAUGUCAGUCAGUGCCACUGGAUCUCACGCAUCAUUUUAUUACCCAACACUUCCAGAUUUUUAAGUUCAUUUCAGAAAAAAAAGUAUUAGGGCCCAGAGAAGUCAGAUAAAUCGAUGAAGGUGUCACACAGAUAGUGGGGGGUUGAAGCGGGAUGAAAUCUGUCUGCUUCCAAGUCCAUGAUCUUUCCUCAGCGCAGGGCUCUGUCUCCAGAGAGCUGAAAACACACAGCCAGUUUACUUCAGAAAUCUGUUUACCGUAAGGUGUGUUCUGUGCUUAGGGCAGUUAGUUUUGUUUACUGUUUCAUAAAUAUUGGAGAAGAAAAGAAGUAUUAACCCUUCUCUCCAGAUGUAAGUAACUACCGGCCUCAACUUGUUAAUGACUAGCCCCGAACCAGGAGCAGGAUGUGCAUCAUCCUAAGUACUGUGCAGGGACACUAUGUACAUUUAUGGCUCCUGAAGAUUGUGUCAGAGAAGUAAAGAAAUUUCAAGAGGGGAAAAAAUGCAUCUGGAGUGGCAGCGGAGGUUCACACAUCAUCAUAGGUAAAUUGCUAGAACAGUAGCUCCCCCCCUCCUCUCCCAAGUAUUAGGCAAGAUGAAAAAUAGAUACAGCGGAGAAGCCGUUGAAAGAGCAAGAGGCGAGUAUAGGACAGGCAAAAGGGAGCCCAGCAGGUUAGUACGGAGUAUUUUCUUGCCACCUCCACAUUAUUUGGGGGUGGUCACACCUUUUAAGUGCCACUUGUACCCCUUCAGAGACAAAUCAUUACACUGAACGGACCCCCAGCGAGGUGGUUCUUCUGUUCUUUCAUAGGCUCUGAAACAAAAAAUGAUACCCAACUGUGUGUUGAGGUGCAGUCGUAACUGAGGUGGGGGCUCCCUUCUGUCCUCAGAGACACAACGUUGGAAGAAGGCAUAAUACAGAAAAUGCUUUAGAGAUAAAUCUUAAUUUUAUUAGAAAAAAAAUUUUAAACACAAAAAUUUAGAACAAAAUAUUUAUUUAAGAACAUCUAUAUUUGAAAAGGUGAUGCUAUACCCCUCAAUUUAAAGAAGAAAUUCAUUUAAGAUUACGAGUUUUAAGUAUCACCGAAGAUAUUCUUCAUGCUGCCACCAGAGCCUGGCUUGACUGCUCUGAAGUAACAACACUUGAAAGCUCCUAUUCUUUGAAACUAAUUUAAACACAUUGAAUUGUUGAAAGAUUAAAAACCACAGUCAGCUAAUUACACUCUCUCUCAUCUCUUAUUCAGCAAAUGAAUCACUUUUCAUUACUGCUUAGCUGAAGUACAUGAGUUUCUGCCUAAUUAGAAAUGUUGUAGAUGGAACAUUAGCAAGAAUGGAGCAGGUCAGGAUAUCUUAACUGCUUCAUUUUUAAUCCCUAACAGUAGAAUCUGAUAGGAAAGAAUAGAGAAGUCAUUA